AUGAACGCUGGCGGCGUGCCUAACACAUGCAAGUCGAACGAAGCAUACGGACCGGAGAUUCGUCGAAGGACUGUAUGACUUAGUGGCGGACGGGUGAGUAAUGUAUGAGCAACCUGCCUUUCAGAGGGGGACAACAGUUGGAAACGACUGCUAAUACCGCGUAACGUAUCGUGGGGGCAUCCUCGUGAUACCAAAGGAGCAAUCCGCUGAAAGAUGGGCUCAUAUCUGAUUAGCUUGUUGGCGGGGUAACGGCCCACCAAGGCGACGAUCAGUAGCCGGACUGAGAGGUUGAACGGCCACAUUGGGACUGAGAUACGGCCCAGACUCCUACGGGAGGCAGCAGUGGGGAAUAUUGGGCAAUGGGCGAAAGCCCUGACCCAGCAACGCCGCGUGAAGGAAGAAGGUCUUCGGAUUGUAAACUUCUUUUAUGAGGGACGAAGGACGUGGCGGUACCUCAUGAAUAAGCCACGGCUAACUACGUGCCAGCCGCCGC
rnacentral:rRNA from 1 species